AGUGAACGCUGGCGGCAUGCCUAACACAUGCAAGUCGAACGGUAGCACAGUAAGAGCUUGCUCUAACCGAUGGGGAGGGGCGGACGGGGGAGGGAUACAACGGAAUCUAUUAUUUAGUGGUGGAUAACGGAGAGAAACUGACGCUAAUACCGAAUACCACCUACGAGUGAAAGCAGGGGAGCUUCAGACCUUACGCGAUUGAAUGGCCCGAUGGCGGAUUGGCUAGUUGGCGGGGUAACGGCUCACCAAGGCGACGAUCCGUAGCGGGUCUGAGAGGGUGAUCGGCCACACUGGGACUGAGACACGGUCCAGACUCCUACGGGAGGCAGCAGUGGGGAAUCUUGGACAAAGGGCGAAAGCCUGACCGAGCAAUACCGCGUGAGUGAAGAAGGCUUUCGGGUCGUAAAGCUCUUUUGUUGGGAAAGAAAAGCAGCGGUAGUAUCUGCAGGUGUUCUGACGGUACCCAACGAAUAAGCCCCGGCUAACUUCGUG
rnacentral:rRNA from 1 species